CGGCGAGGUAGCCGAUGAAAUCAGUGAUGGGCGGCUCCGGCGGUGCGGAGAGGUCGGCGCCGGACCUGCGAAUCCCAGGGGCGGGGCCGAUGCCGGCGGCGGGGCGGGGCCCAGGUGGAGCCCCUGGACCGAACCUCGCCACACCCGCCUGACAGUGGAUGCCGCUCUCCCUGGCCCGUCCUGUCUUCUGUCUCUCCCAGCUCUCCGCUGAGCCUCCGCGCUCUCACCCCCUGUCUGUCUGUGAUAUGUAACGACAGCUCAGGUAGAUUCUUUACCAUCUGAGCCACCACAGAAGCUCUCAGCUGUGACGUAAAUCCACCAGAUGCAAAGAAGCCAACUAUACCUGCCUUGGCAUCACUUCAUGGAAUUUGUGAGUACAAUGGGUUGAAUCAUGUGCCUGCAAAAGACAUAUUCAAGUCCUAACCCCCAGUACCUGUGAAUGUGACCUUAUUUGGAAAUAGGAUCUUGUGAGAUCACAUCAGAUCAGUCACUCAGUCGUGUCCGACUCUUUGCGACCCCAUGAAUCGCAGCAUGCCAGGUCUCCCUGUACAUCACCAACUCCUGGAGUUCACUCAGACUCACGUCCAUCGAGUCAGUGAUACCAUCC
ensembl:lncRNA